rnacentral:tRNA from 1 species
CUCUAUAUAUAAAGUAUUUUACUUUUAUUAGAA